rnacentral:rRNA from 1 species
CAAUAGCGUAUAUUAAAGUUGUUGCAGUUAAAAAGCUCGUAGUUGGAUUUGUGGCGUACGGUGUGUUCCGGGCACUUGUUGUCUGAGUAACCUGCUGUUGCCAUCCUUGGGUGGAACCUGUGUGGCAUUAGGUUGUCGUGCAGGGGAUGCCCAUCAUUUACUGUGAAAAAAUUAGAGUGUUCAAAACAGGCUUAUGCCGUUGAAUAUAUUAGCAUGGAAUAAUGAGAUAGGACUUUCUUGCUAUUUUGUUGGUUUGCGCAAAGAGGUAAUGAUUAAUAGGGACAGUUGGGGGUAUUCGUAUUCCAUUGUCAGAGGUGAAAUUCUUGGAUUUUUGGAAGACGAACUACUGCGAAAGCAUUUACCAAGGAUGUUUUCAUUAA